CAAACGACUCUCGGCAACGGAUAUCUCGGCUCACGCAUCGAUGAAGAACGUAGCAAAAUGCGAUACUUGGUGUGAAUUGCAGAAUCCCGUGAACCAUCGAGUUUUUGAACGCAAGUUGCGCCCAAAGCCAUUUGGUCGAGGGCACGUCUGCCUGGGCGUCACGC
rnacentral:rRNA from 2 species